GCAUAUCAAUAAGCGGAGGAAAAGAAACCAACAGGGAUUGCCUCAGUAACGGCGAGUGAAGCGGCAACAGCUCAAAUUUGAAAUCUGGCCUCUUUGGGGUCCGAGUUGUAAUUUGUAGAGGAUGUUUCGGGCACCGCUCCGGUUUAAAUUUCUUGGAACAGAAUGUCAAAGAGGGUGAGAACCCCGUCUUGGACCGGCAGUAGGGCCCAUGUGAAACUCCUUCGACGAGUCGAGUUGUUUGGGAAUGCAGCUCAAAAUGGGUGGUAAAUUUCAUCUAAAGCUAAAUAUUGGCCAGAGACCGAUAGCGCACAAGUAGAGUGAUCGAAAGAUGAAAAGCACUUUGAAAAGAGAGUUAAACAGUACGUGAAAUUGUUGAAAGGGAAGCGCUUGCAACCAGACUUGCGCGCGGCGGUUCCCCCUUCCUUUUGGUUGGGUUAUUCCGCCGUGUCCAGGCCAACAUCGGUUCUGGGGGUCGGUUAAAGGCCUGGGGAAUGUAUCUACCCUUCGGGCGUAGACUUAUAGCCCCGGGUGUCAUGCGACCUCCCGGGACCGAGGAACGCGCUUCGGCUCGGAUGUUGGCGUAAUGGUUGUCAGCGACCCGUCUUGAAACACGGACCAAGGAGUCUAACAUCUAUGCGAGUGUUUGGGUGUCAAACCCGGAACGCGGAAUGAAAGUGAACGGAGGUAGGAAGCUUCGGCUGCACUAUCGACCGAUCCUGAUGUCUUCGGAUGGAUUUGAGUAAGAGCAUAGCUGUUGGGACCCGAAAGAUGGUGAACUAUGCCUGAAUAGGGUGAAGCCAGAGGAAACUCUGGUGGAGGCUCGCAGCGGUUCUGACGUGCAAAUCGAUCGUCAAAUUUGGGUAUAGGGGCGAAAGACUAAUCGAACCAUCUGGUAGCUGGUCUGCGAU
rnacentral:rRNA from 1 species